UUUUUUGGAGUCAAAAGCAACUAGCGACAAAUCUUGUGACUCUGUCUGGUGUUAUUGGAGAAUUUUCUGGUGUUUUGGAGACUCUGAC